rnacentral:lncRNA from 1 species
UCAGAACAACCCAUUGCUUCAAAGAUGAUCUCAACCUCAUCUAACCACUUGAUAGCCCCCUCCGGAUUAUAGCCCCCGGUAAACAGAGUUGGUUUAUGCGACAUAAACCUUUCCAAUCUUUUCUCACUAUCCCUUCUCGGGUCAUUAUCCCUUACCAUCAAUGUAGUCAAAGCAGCCAAAGCUUGUGCAAUCUGAGCGUUGGUCCUAGCAGCAGCCAUGAUUCCUGAACGAAUCACAACUCGACGUUAGAAUGUAUUAACAGUGUACCCAACACAUGCUUCAUACAAGAGAAAGAAAAUCCUAAUGGCUCACAUGAACCGACUUGCUCUGAUACCACUAUUGUAACACCCCGAACUAACUACC